CCCUCUGCUCCUGAGCCCAGCCAACGACCCGCACCUGCACCUCAUCAGCCACCUCGUCAGCCUGCCACACCUGCCACUAGUCAACCUCAUCUCUGCCUGUAUUUCAGCCCCGGUCCUCCACACCAUUGUUGCUUGAUCGUUGUUGCACCAUAGUCGGUGCCACCUCUGUGUUCAGGCUCUCAUGUUUCUUGUUUUCUCACAUUUUCCCUGUGCUUAGUCUCCGUUAUCUCUAAUCCUGUCUCUCCGUCUGUUUCCCUCCCAGGUUCACUCACCCUCGUCUUCCGUUCAGUCGGCUGGGCUCGUCCUCUGGACCUCUCCUCUUCGGGCUUCCCCCACGGCGCCCUCCCGAUUCUCCCUUGCAUCCUUCCUUCCUCGGCCCCAGUGUUCCCUGGUUCCCGUCCCAUUGGCUUCCCUGUGCCAGUGUUUCCCCGGCAUCCUCCUCUCCCUCCACUCCAGUCCCUCAACCCCCUUUAAACCUCCUUCGCUUAUAGUGCUGCGUUUGGGUCCUCUCUGUCCCCACACCAUCCACGUAACAGAACGAUCAAGCCACCCAUGGACCCAGCAGACUUAAGAGCGGAGAGGGACAUGUUCCUGGAUGUCUUGGCCGAGUUGUGGUCUAAGUGGCAGUUGGCAUCUGACCACGAAUCCCGCCAAGCUGCCCUCAUACAGGCUCACUGGGAGAUAGCCGCGAGGCCAUGGCUGCAGCGUCGGCUGCCUAGGUGGGCAAGACAUCUUGUAAACUCCAGCCCUCGGCUGUUCCAGCCUGUUCCCUGGCCUGCUAGCAUGCCCCCAGCCUCCAGCCUAUCCCUCCUGAUACCCAACCGGCUAGCCCCCAGUUUGGUCCAGAUCCCCAGCCUGUCCCUGAUCCUCAGCCGGCUAGCGCCGCUAACCCCCAGCUUGUCCCUUGGCCUGCAAGCACCGCUGGCCUCCUGCCUGCCCCCCCGAUCCCUGGCCUGCUAGUGCCACUAGCCUCCUGCCUGUCUCUCCUGAUCCCCCAGCCCCUUAGGGCCGCUAGCCCCCAUGCCUUGUCGGAGGACCGGCCGACCCCUGCUCCUCGUGUUCUGUUGGAGGACCCACUGGCUUCAGCCCUCUGGCUUGCCUAGCCCUGCCCCCACAGCCUGUGGAGAGGUCGCCUAGCCCCGCUCCCUGGCCUCAGGAGAGGUCGUCUCGCCCCUUAGCCCAGCCCUCGGGCCGCCUGCCUGCCCUCCCUGGCUCCCCUGCUCUGUCCUCGGGCUGCCCCCCUGAACUCCCUGGUCCGCCCGAACCCUCUAGUCCCUCUGCUCUGCCCUCAGGACCCCCUGGUCCCCCAGCUCUGACCUCUGGCACCCCACCUGAACUCCCUGGUUCCCCUGCUCUACCCUCUGGCUCCCAGUCUAGUCCUAUGUCUUCAGUUCAGCCCUGCCCGUUCCCCUAAUCCUUCCCAGUCCUAAAACCCUCCCUGUGUUUUGUUUUGGACCCUGGACCUCCGUGCGACUUCCUCCCCCUGACGUUCAUCUGCCAAGCCUCACCUAGUCCAGUGGGAAAGCCACCAGGGGCCCUGUUGUGGUGGCAGCCCGGCUGACUGUUCACUCACCCUCGUCCUCCGUUCAGUCGGCUGGGCUCGUCCUCCAGACCUCCCCUUUGGGCUUCCCCCACAGCGUCCUCCCAGUUCUCCCUUGCAUCCUCCUUUCCUCGACCCCCAGUGUUCCCUGGGUCCCAUUGGUUUCCCUGUUCCAGUAUUUCCCCGGCAUCCUCCAGUACCUCAACCCCCUUUUUCCCUAAAUAAACCUCCUUCACUCAGA